CGAGAGGUCCGCCGCCGCGCCGGCCGGCAGCGCCGGGAGGGCCUUUUUUUUUAAGUUAGAAAAUUAAGUUAUAUUUUUAUGAUAGAUUUUUAAUUUUGAUUGUUAAGAUAUUAAAAUUAAGUUAUAUUUUUAAGUUAGAUUUUUUAGUUAGAUUGUUAAGUUAUAUUUUUAAGUUAGAAAAUAAAGUUAGAAAUUCGUAGUAGGCACCGCCGUCCCCUCCGUCGUCCUGCCGUCGUGACCGCUGCCGUCCCGCCGCCCGUCACAACCUAGUAGGCACCGCCCGUCACAACCUAGUAGGCACCGCCCGUGGUUCCGGGGAACCGUCCCCGCCUCCGCCAUACCACCGCCCUGACCGCCGCCAUCACAACCUAGGCACCGCCCGUGGUUCCAGGGAACUGUCCCCGCCUUUGCCGCCCUGAUCGCCGCCAUCACAACCUAGGCACCGCAUGUGGAUAUUGCUAGAAAUUCGUAGAAAUUCAUCGAAAUUCGUAGAAAUUCGUAUAAAUAUUCCGAACUUUGUAGGAUUCAUGUUAUUUUAUGAUUCCAUUAUAUACAUGUAUGAUUCCGGACUUUGUAGGACUUUGUAGAAAUUUGUAGUAAGACGAUUUCUAUGACUGUCAUGUAUGAUUCCAUGUAUGUUUCCAUCAAUAGUUGAAAUGGCAGACGAUGAGACCGCAAGGUAUAUCAUGGAGCAGAUAAUCGCUGGUGAUGGUAGUGGCGACAACGUUC
rnacentral:lncRNA from 1 species